ACACCUCAACUCUUCAUGGUUUUCCAUGAUGAGCUUGGACUUUGGGGGUUUUGCUGGCCUACGGUCGGCUCCUCUAAAAUAAAUCAGCUUGCCAGUGUUUGGUGGGUAUCACGGGUGUGAUAACUAUCUACGCUCGUGGUUUUUCCACCAGGUAACCUUCAGCAGUGGAGGUUCGCUGGAGCUCAUAGACGUCUCUCCUCAGCGAGGACAGCCCUUUGAAU
rnacentral:misc_RNA from 1 species